CUUAAGAAAACCCCAAACGAGGCCACGAAGGGUUGAUGAAGACUGAAAUGACUGAACAGUGACAAGAAUGAAGAGUCAGCCUGGAAAAAAUAUGUUGGAGCCAGAUUGUGAAGGAUUUUAAAUGCCAAACAGAGGAGUUUUAUGUUAUCCUACGGGGAGUUCCUGAAGAAAAGGAGUGUGAUGUGGUCAGACUUGGGUUUUAGGAAUCUCAAAUCGGCAGCUAUGUGGAGGAUGGACUGCAGAGGGGAAGAGCCUGGAGUCAGUGACACCAGUUAGGAGACUUUGGACCAGGUGAGAGUUGGCUUUGCAAAUGCCCAUAAUGCCAGACCACAAGGUGGAAUAUCCCAGAAAGACCCAAGGUGGAGUGGAUGAUGGCAGAUCAUUCUGAAGAUGAUACAAUGUGCAGGCAAUACAUCUAUACCCACCCCUAAGCCUAGCUGACCUUUGAAAUGACCCCUUCCCUGCAAAUGGCAAGGGAGCUUCCUCCACUCUUACUCCACAUAGUAGUUCCAAAUUAUCUUCUUCCCUUUUACCACC